GUUUUAAUAAUUUAUAAAAAUAUUGGUUUUGUAAACCAAAAAAAAAGAAAACUUUUAAAACU
rnacentral:tRNA from 1 species